CCUACGGGGGGCAGCAGUGGGGAAUAUUGCACAAUGGGGGAAACCCUGAUGCAGCGACGCCGCGUGAGCGAUGAAGUAUUUCGGUAUGUAAAGCUCUAUCAGCAGGGAAGAAAAUGACGGUACCUGACUAAGAAUCCCCGGCUAACUACGUGCCAGCAGCCGCGGUAAUACGUAGGGGGCAAGCGUUAUCCGGAUUUACUGGGUGUAAAGGGAGCGUAGACGGUCCUGCAAGCCAGAUGUGAAAGCCCGGGGCUCAACCCCGGGACUGCAUUUGGAACUGUAAGGCUAGAGUGUCGGAGAGGCAGGCGGAAUGUGUAGUGUAGCGGUGAAAUGCAUAGAUAUUACACAGAACACCGAUUGCGAAGGCAGCUUGCUAGGCCGGAUCUGACACUGAUGCACGAAAGCGUGGGGAUCGAACAGGAUUAGAUACCCUGGUAGUC
rnacentral:rRNA from 1 species